AUUGAACGCUGGCGGCAGGCCUAACACAUGCAAGUCGAGCGAGCGGCGGACGGGUGCUUAAUGCCUGGGAAUUGCCCAGUCGAGGGUGAUAACAGUUUGAAACGACUGCUAAUUCCGCAUACGCUUGGCUUGCCCAGGUGGGAUUAGCGAGUUGGUGAGGUAAAGGCUCACCAAGGCGACGAUGCCGAGCUGGUCUGAGAGGAUGAUGAGCCACAGUGGAACUGAGACACGGUCCAGACUCCUACGUGAGGCAGCAGGGGGGAAUAUUGCACAAUGGGUGAAACCCUGAUGGAGCAAUGCCGAGUGUGUGAAGAAGGCCUUCGGGUUGUAAAGCACGUUCAGCGAGGAGGCGGUAUUCGAAGAAGAAGCACCGGCUAACUCCGAGCCAGCAGCCGAGGGAAUUC
rnacentral:rRNA from 1 species